GUGCCAGCAGCCGCGGUAACACGUAGGGGGCAAGCGUUGUCCGGAUUUAUUGGGCGUAAAGGGCUCGUAGGCGGUUCGACAAGUCGGGUGUGAAACCUCCAGGCUCAACCUGGAGACGCCGCUCGAAACUGUUGUGACUAGAGUCCGGUAGAGGAGUAUGGAAUUCCUGGUGUAGCGGUGGAAUGCGCAGAUAUCAGGAGGAACACCAGUAGCGAAGGCGAUACUCUGGGCCGGUACUGACGCUGAGGAGCGAAAGCAUGGGGAGCGAACAGGAUUAGAUACCCCGGUAGUCC
rnacentral:rRNA from 1 species